rnacentral:misc_RNA from 1 species
CGCAGCCGCGGUAAUUCCAGCUCCAAUAGCGUAUAUUAAAGUUGUUGCAGUUAAAAAGCUCGUAGUUGAAUUUCGGGAUCAAUUAAUUGGUCGUGCCUCUGGUACGCACUGGUUUUAUUGGUUUCUCCCUUCUGACGAACCACGAUGUCAUUAAUUUGGUGUCGUGGAGAAUCAGGACUGUUACUUUGAAAAAUUAGAGUGUUUAAAGCAGGCUAACGCUUGAAUACAUUAGCAUGGAAUAAUGAAAUAGGACGUUUGAUCCUAUUUUGUUGGUUUCUAGGAUCGACGUAAUGAUUAAUAGGGAUAGUUGGGGGCAUUAGUAUUCAAUUGUCAGAGGUGAAAUUCUUGGAUUUAUUGAAGACUAACUACUGCGAAAGCAUUUGCCAAGGAUGUUUUCAUUAAUCAGUGAACGAAAGUUAGGGGAUCGAAGACGAUCAGAUACCGUCGUAGUCUUAACCAUAAACUAUGCCGACUAGGGAGCGGGCGAUGUUAUUUUUUGACUCGCUCGGCACCUUACGGG